GACGUAGGUGACGAACGUUAUCCGGAAUUAUUGGGCGUAAAGGGUGCGUAGAUGGCCUGAUAAGUUAGCAGUGGGAAAUCGAGGCUCAACCUCGUGGAAGCUGGUAAUACUGUCAGGCUCGAGUGCAGGAGAGGUUAACGGAACUCCAUGUGGAGCGGUAAAAUGUGUAGAUAUAUGGAAGAGCACCAAUAACGGCGAAGGCAGUUAACUAUUCUGUUACUGACAUUGAGGCACGAAAGCUGGGGGAGCAAACCGG
rnacentral:rRNA from 1 species